CUACGUAGGGCGCAAGCGUUGUCCGGAAUUAUUGGGCGUAAAGAGCUCGUAGGCGGUCUGUUGCGUCCGCUGUGAAAACUCGGGGCUUAACCCCGAGCCUGCAGUGGAUACGGGCAGACUAGAGGUAGGUAGGGGAGAAUGGAAUUCCCGGUGUAGCGGUGAAAUGCGCAGAUAUCGGGAGGAACACCGGUGGCGAAGGCGGUUCUCUGGGCCUUACCUGACACUGAGGAGCGAAAGCGUGGGGAGCGAACAGG
rnacentral:rRNA from 1 species